AUUAACAAGAAUUUAUCAAAUCAACGUUAUCCAUUAACUCUAAUUAAUCACCCUAAAAUCAAUUGAGUUAAUAACAGAGAAAGGAUUUAGGGUUACGCUUAAUUUGUGGCCAUUCAGAUUGAAUUCAUCUCCCUCUCUCUCACGGCGACGCGGCGGUGACGGAGAUGCUCUCCGUCAGUCAUCGUGAACAACACCAUGUCGUAUCUCGCGGCUCAAUCUCUCUUCCGUCCUCUCAAUCGCUCUCGAUGCUAAAUGCGGUGGUCGGAAAACUAACGCAAGUUCUCCCUCUCCGGCGAACCCUCAUCCUCUCUGCUAUUCCUCUUGACUCGUGUCUCUUCGCUCGACUCAUCUCUUCCUCCGAUUCAAGUUCUCAUACCCGAUUUGGAUCUUCUUUUGAUAUCGAAGAUGAUUGAAGACGACGCUGAGAAUGUUGAAGAGCGAUGUGAAGAUUGAAGAUUCGAUGAAAACUCAAGAAUUCUGUUACGAAACCGUUCCGAGCUUGAACCAGUUGGAUGAUUCGUUGAAUUUGAGAGCAAGAUUGAAGAUGUAAUGGCAAGAGAGAGUUCAGAACGUGAGGUCAAGAGAGGGAGAGAAUUGGUUCUGGUCCAUCGAGAUUGUGGAUUGAAGGUGAUGAAUCCAGAUGAAGAUGUCGAGAGGUUGAAGCGUGUUGAAGAAGGUGCAAGAUUCGGUUUUCUAUUGAUCAUCCAGGUUGCGGUUUUGUUACUUGAUGUUUGGACAGAUUAUACCAUGGAAGGCUUUGAAGUUUGAAGACACGUGGUGAUGAUGUGCUUGUUUCGAUUUCCUGCUAGAGCGAUUAACCAAUGGAAGAGGCCGUAUAGAACUUUUUCUACUUUGUAUGUCCUUGAUGGAAUGUAAUGACUUGGGAUUGAUUUUCGUGUAAAUUUGUGUAAUUUGUGAGUGGACUUUGAAUGGGCUGUAAUGAACAGUUGUAUUUGGAUAUGAAUUUUAUAAGUUUGGUGAAUGAACAUGAAAAUGUAGAAAUUGGAUUUUUGUAUAUGUAAAUGAACAUUAAAGUUCUUGAACUUGAAUCUUGAACUUGAGUCAAAUGGUCGUAAA